rnacentral:siRNA from 1 species
AUAAAUCCUAUAGUUGAAACUUAU